rnacentral:rRNA from 1 species
GACGUAGGUGGCGAACGUUAUCCGGAAUUAUUGGGCGUAAAGGGUGCGUAGAUGGCUUAGUAAGUUGGCGGUGGGAAAUCGAGGGCUCAACCUCGUGGAAGCCGGCAAUACUACUAAGCUUGAGUACAGGAGAGGUUAAUGGAACUCCAAUGUGGAGCGGUAAAAUGCACAGAUAUAUGGAAGAACACCAAUAAAGGCGAAGGCAAUUAACUAUUCUGUUACUGACAUUGAGGCACGAAAGCGUGGGGAGCAAAACGG